rnacentral:rRNA from 1 species
CAGUCGCCGCGGUAAAACGUAGAGUGCAAGCGUUAAUCGGAAUUACUGGGCGUAAAGCGUGCGCAGGCGGUUAUAUAAGACAGAUGUGAAAUCCCCGGGCUCAACCUGGGAACUGCAUUUGUGACUGUAUAGCUAGAGUACGGCAGAGGGGGAUGGAAUUCCGCGUGUAGCAGUGAAAUGCGUAGAUAUGCGGAGGAACACCGAUGGCGAAGGCAAUCCCCUGGGCCUGUACUGACGCUCAUGCACGAAAGCGUGGGGAGCAAACAGGAUUAGAUACCCCUGUAGUCCCUGUCUCUUAUAA